UACGGAGGGUGCAAGCGUUAUCCGGAUUCACUGGGUUUAAAGGGGGCGUAGGCGGGCAGAUAAGUCAGUGGUGAAAUCUCCGAGCUUAACUCGGAAACUGCCGUUGAUACUAUUUGUCUUGAAUACUGUGGAGGUAAGCGGAAUAUGUCAUGUAGCGGUGAAAUGCUUAGAUAUGGCAUAGAACCCCAAUUGCGAUGGCAGCUUACUACACAGCGAUUGACGCUGAGGCACGAAAGCGUGGGGCUCAAACAGG
rnacentral:rRNA from 1 species